rnacentral:rRNA from 1 species
UACGGAGGGGGCUAGCGUUGUUCGGAAUUACUGGGCGUAAAGCGCGCGUAGGCGGAUCUGCAAGUCGGGGGGUGAAAGCCCGGGGGCUCAAACCCCCGGAAUUGCCUUUGAGACUGCAUCGCUAGAAUUGUGGAGAGGUAAGUGGAAUUCCGAGUGUAGAGGUGAAAAUUCGUAGAUAUUCGGAAAGAACACCAGUGGCGAAGGCGGCUCACUGGCCCGGUACUGACGCUGA